CCUACGGGGUGCACCAGUGGGGAAUAUUGCACAAUGGGCGCAAGCCUGAUGCAGCCAUGCCGCGUGUAUGAAGAAGGCCUUCGGGUUGUAAAGUACUUUCAGCGGGGAGGAAGGUGUUGUGGUUAAUAACCACAGCAAUUGACGUUACCCGCAGAAGAAUCACCGGCUAACUCCGUGGCAGCAGCCGCGGUAAUACGGAGGGUGCAAGCGUUAAUCGGAAUUACUGGGCGUAAAGCGCACGCAGGCGGUCUGUCAAGUCGGAUGUGAAAUCCCCGGGCUCAGCCUGGGAACUGCAUUCGAAACUGGCAGGCUAGAGUCUUGUAGAGGGGGGUAGAAUUCCAGGCGUAGCGGAGAAAUGCGUAGAGAUCUGGAGGAAUACCGGUGGCGAAGGCGGCCCCCUGGACAAAGACUGGCGCUCAGGUGCGAAAGCGUGGGGAGCAAACAGGAUUAGAUACCCCUGUAGUC
rnacentral:rRNA from 1 species